AUGAGAUCAUGAUAGCUAGGAUUGAUUUAUGUUGUGGUAGAUUUAACAAGACAAAACCGAAAUUGAUCGAAUUUACACACUAUUAGAAAUUAACAUGAUUAAAUAGAAAUAUCUAUCAUUCACCAAUAUAUGUAUUUAACAUGAUCCACACCAAACGUAUAUAUCUAAUUACAUCCACACCAGUGAGUAAUUUUUAACACCUAAAUCAUUCUUAAUUUUAUAUUAUCCACAAUAGUGGAGUAAUUAAUAUUUAAAACUCACAAAUGAAGAUAAGUCUUGGCUGAUUCGUCCCUUCUCUGAAGAAGAAAUAAAGGAAGCAAUCUGAAGUUGCGAUGCAAACAAGAGCCCAGGUCCCGAUGGCUUUAAUAUUCAUUUCUGAAAAAAAAAAACAUGGGAGAUUAUUAGGAUGGACUUCUUAAAGGUGAUGAAUGAGUUCCAUUCUAAUGGCAAGAUACCUCGAGGAGGCAAUCCAUCUUUCAUUGUGUUCAUUCCCAAGAAAGAAGAAGCAAGCAAAAUCGAGGAAUUUCGACCAAUUUCUCUAAUUGGCAGUUUGUAUAAGAUCAUAGCCAAAAUUCUGGCUGAGAGAAUGAAGGUUGUGA
rnacentral:lncRNA from 1 species